rnacentral:misc_RNA from 1 species
AGCUCUAAGCUAGUCCCUACUGAUGCCUAUUUCUUUGGUCUCAUUCUGUAAAACUACUAACUCCUUCUACAGCAGGAAUAAGGGAAUCGUUACGAACGCAAACAACGUCUUUUUUUGCAUCGCAUUCGUUGAUGGUUGCCGCUUCUUCUCUCGUUAUGCACCUUCAAGUUGGGUACGAGUCAGGCUUUCCUGGACUGGCUAUCUCGGCGGGAUUUUGCUCCUUAUUUCGUUCACU